AAAAAAAAAAAAAAAAAAAGUGGGGGGAAAAAGUGCUUGGAGCUCCCAAUUUCAGCCCGCGAAAGUCUCCCGACUCAUUGCUAUUCUUGGGCUCAGGAAAUUGCUUAAACGCGAUCUGAUUGCCAGCAACGUGCAGGAGAAGUGGGGGGUCCGGGUGUCAGUUUCUUUACGUGCAGCGCUCGCCCUCGCGCGCGCUCGCUCGCUCCGGCUCCCUCCCUCCCUCUCUGUUCCAGCAGAGGCUGGGAGUUGCCGCUCGAUCCAGCUCCCCUUCUCUCCCUUUUUAGCAUUUAUUGCCUUCUUUUUGUCCUUUCCAACUUGGAGAGGGUCCGGGUGUGGAGCGCGCGUGGAUCGGACGCCUUGGUCUGCGCGGCCCUAUUCAUUCGCUCCCCGGGCAGCCGCGUCGCGGAGAGGGCGGCCCCUUUUUCCCCCAUUUUUUCAAUACCCCAUUAAGUCUGAUUGACAGUUAAAGUUGUUGGGAGGCUUCACUACCGUUCCUCUGAGUGGCUGCUGCGGCCUCCCCUCCCCCUGCGCCGUCGCGGGGAGCGCGCAUAAGGCGCGCACUCGGGCUCGCCGGGACUCGCGCUCUCCCGGGACUGGCUCCCCUCUCUGCAAGCCGGGACUUGCCGCCGGUGUCCCUGAGGGCUCGCAGCUGUAACUCGAACACGCUGGAACCGACUCCGGCGAGCCGGCUGCCUUCUCGAGACGUUCCUCCUUGCCCGGGCCGCCCGCGGGCCAGGUCAUUUGGUCAUCCUCGGCCUCCAGGUAGGAUCAGGAAGCCACUCCUCACCUUUGCCCGGACCUCUUCUGUGUUCACGUAGAGUGGACUUUUAAAAGCCUGACCCAAGUGCCUCACGAUGCUUAGGGGGAAGCCGCUGGGGAGCAGGACUUUGCUUUGAGGGGAGGGAGUAGUCAAGGUAAAGGAACCUCUGCUCCGAGUGCCAAUAAAAUCCCCACAAGAUUAGCUGGGAGCAUAUUUAUUGCUCAUCUGAGCUAGAAUUACCUUGACUGACACCAAUUUCCUUAAUAACAAAAGCCUGUAAACAAAACGUCCUAUUCGUGCGCCCCUGUGCUGUGCAGCCAGCGUCUCCUGUCCUUGGGUCUCCCUGGACUGCCCUGGCGGGGCACCCACCUUCUAACCUCCUGCCCUUCCCGACCGGAAUGUCUCCCCUGCUGGAGGGUGGGACCGAGCUAUUUAGAGUUGUCUGUUGCAGGAAGUCUGGGAGGUGAGUCACUAAAAAGCAGCCCCAGUUCAAAGUGCUGAUGGGACUUGCCUCCCGCCCCCCUGCACGUUCCCGGGGCCGGAGGAGCGAGAGCGAAGCAGGGAGCUGCCCUGUAAUCUGGGGCAGCCGUUUCCAGCCCGCGACUUGUUCAGACGGCGAUUCCUGGGCCUCACCCCCAGAGAUUCUGAUUCAGCAGGGCUGGGUGCGCUGGGAUCGGUACUUUCAAUGCUCCGCCUGGUGAGAAAGUCACUUCGAAAAACGCUGAUCUGCGGGGAGGGGAGGCUGGGAUUACCUCGUCACCUGCAAAGACCUAGUUCUGGGGAGAGGUUCUGCAGGGGAGGAUCUUCCUUCUGGGUGAAAAGCCACUGGAAGAGCAAAAGGCAGGAGAGGCUUAGGAUGAGCAACUGUCCUGCACUGAGGGCCUAUAUUCUGACACAGUCCUUCCCCUGACCUUGCAAUCGGGGGACUGUUAUCCCAUCGUCCAGGUUACCCAGCCAGGAAGUGCAGGAGGGGGGAUCCCAAUCCAAACCUCUUCCCACUCUGACCAGACGGGAGGAGAGAAGUGGAGGAUGGGGUUCAGCUAAGGGUUGCAGAGCAGAGACCCCCCCACCCCCCUAACGCCCCCAAGAGUCUGACCGAAGGGCGGACCAAUGUCUCCAUCAGACCCCAGGGCCGGAAUCCAUUGUGGUGACGGCCUCCUCUCAUCUUCGAGGUCUGUAAAAAUGGGAAAGCGAUUCCAGCCUGGGAGUGACAGGCCUUUCCCACCCAGCAGCGGCUGGUGUCCG
rnacentral:lncRNA from 1 species